rnacentral:tRNA from 1 species
GCCAUCUUAGCUCAGUUGGUAGAGCAGCUCACUCGUAAUGAGCAGGUCAGCGGUUCGAGUCCGCUAGAUGGCUCAA